rnacentral:rRNA from 1 species
CUAUAUACCGCCGUCGCAAGCUUACCCUGUGAAGGGUCCAUAGUAAGCAAAAUGGGUAAACCCCAGAACGUCAGGUCGAGGUGUAGCUCACGAGGUGGAAAGAAAUGGGCUACAUU